rnacentral:rRNA from 1 species
GGGAACAUACCCUUUUCUACGGAAUAGCUCUGGGAAACUGGAAUUAAUACCGUAUACGCCCUACGGGGGAAAGAUUUAUCGGGGAAGGAUUGGCCCGCGUUGGAUUAGCUAGUUGGUGGGGUAAAGGCCUACCGAGGCGACGAUCCAUAGCUGGUCUGAGAGGAUGAUCAGCCACAUUGGGACCGAGACACGGCCCAAACUCCUACGGGAGGCAGCAGUGGGGAAUAUUGGACAAUGGGCGCAAGCCUGAUCCAGCCAUGCCGCGUGAGUGAUGAAGGCCUUAGGGUUGUAAAGCUCUUUCACCGAUGAAGAUAAUGACGGUAGUCGGAGAAGAAGCCCCGGCUAACUUCGUGCCAGCAGCCGCGGUAAUACGAAGGGGGCUAGCGUUGUUCGGAAUUACUGGGCGUAAAGCGCACGUAGGCGGAUAUUUAAGUCAGGGGUGAAAUCCCAGAGCUCAACUCUGGAACUGCCUUUGAUACUGGGUAUCUUGAGUAUGGAAGAGGUAAGUGGAAUUGCGAGU